UACGUAGGGUGCGAGCGUUGUCCGGAAUUACUGGGCGUAAAGAGCUCGUAGGUGGUUUGUCGCGUUGUUCGUGAAAACUCACAGCUCAACUGUGGGCGUGCGGGCGAUACGGGCAGACUGGAGUACUGCAGGGGAGACUGGAAUUCCUGGUGUAGUCGGUGAAAUGCGCAGAUAUCAGGAGGAACACCGAUGGCGAAGGCAGGUCUCUGGGCAUUAACUGACGCUGAGGAGCGAAAGCAUGGGGAGCGAACAGG
rnacentral:rRNA from 1 species